ACCGGCAGCUCAAGUGGUGGCCAUUAUUAUUGGGCCUAAAGCGUUCGUAGCCGGUUUGAUAAGUCUCUGGUGAAAUCCCGCAGCUUAACUGUGGGACUUGCUGGGGAUACUAUCAGACUUGAGGUCGGGAGAGGUUAAGGGUACUCCCAGGGUAGGGGUGAAAUCCUUUAAGAUUGGGAGGACCACCAGUGGCGAAGGCGCCUAACUGGACCGAACCUGACGCUUAGCAACGAAAGCCUGGGGAGCGAACAG
rnacentral:rRNA from 1 species